GACAGGGCUGGAAGUGGGUAGACACAGGUUAAGAUACAAGACGUAUACUGUGAGGUUUGAGUGAGCAUGGAGCAUGCCUCUGCGUGGGAAGAGGCCUAACUUUGAGACAGUUGGGGCUGCAGGUGGAAGAUCCUGGCUACUAAAGAGCUGUAGAAACAAGGACGUUUUAGAAAGAAGAAAUAGGAGUUCUUCCAGAGAAUCCAGAAACUCCCAAGACUGCCUUUCUGAAAAUGAUGACCCACACCAAUCCUCAGUUUCCAUGGAGACCUCCUCAGUCACAGUCCCUGGAGGCGGAGACCUCAGAAUACCAGGAAUUUCUUAUUUGGAGUGAAGAAGACUGAAGCCAGAGAAAUCCCUUCCUGCAGUGGACAGUGGCUUAGCUGGGUAGAGUUCAGACAGUGACUGAAGGGUGCUCAGACUAAAUGGGACCUCUGUAUCAAUCCAUUUCCUCGCCGUGGCGCACGGAACAUCGCAGAAGAGCCGAUAGGAAGAAAGAGCUGGAGGAUGGGGAAGAAUGGGCCCCAAGGUUUUUUGUUUUUUGUUUGCAUGCAUGGACCCACAGAAGCUGUGGUUACCUGCGCAAGUCCUGCAUAAAGGUCAAGUCAACAGAACCAACCAACAUUAACCAGACUUGGCAGGUUACAAAACAAAUGAACCCAAACCUAAAGCUAAAUGAACGUGGUAGGGAAACGUGUGGUUGUUGUGGGUGGGUUUGAUCCAUAGAUAUUCUAAGCAUAAAAAGGAAUAAAAGCAGGAGAAUUUGAAGGGGGGUGGGGUCCAUAGAUGAUGUCAUCCGGGCUCUCUGGAGCCUCCUGAUACUCAUAUAAAGUGUGAUCUUGGGAACCACGCAUUUUUCUGAGGGACAUCCAUGAUUCCAGAAAAAGUGAAGAUACUGUCAGUAGGUGAUGUCGAAUAAAUGUGGGGUAAAGGGAGACCUCACCUGACUUAUAAGUAAAUGACAGCAAGAUUUUUAAAACUUCAAGUUUUAAGCCAAGAUUAUCACUCCGUACCUACAAAUCUUUAAAAAUACCUGUGGUUUGGCAAAAUUUGUAGAAAACUCACAAUUUUUGUGUCUUCACAAUACCCAGCAGGUUGGUAGCAGUCAGAAAACUUAAAUGUACUCUUACAGUCUACCAAGACCUCUUCUAAGAAAAUACUAACUCUUAAAAAAAUGACUUUAAUGGUCAUUUUUAAUGGUCUAAAUAUAAUAUGUAGAAGAAUAUACUGAUUGUGAUUAUAAAAGUUUGGAAACAGCUUCAAUGUCCUCCAAUUUGAGAAUAAACAAAGUGUAGUAAGAGCAGUAAUAGAUCACCAUAAAGCAAUUACAAGAAAUGAUCUAAAUCCACGUAUUAAUAAUAAUGUAAAUAAGACAACUAAUAUUUUUAUGGUAUUAACUGGCACUUUUCUAAGGACUUUGCAUAUGUAAACAACAAGCUGGAGCUCAAAACAAUGUGGAGUGGGACUAUAUAACAGAGCAAAAAACAUUGUGAUACUAUGUAUGUUUAAAGGCACAGACUAUACUGGAGUUUAUUUGUACCCAUAUGAGGCAAAAAUCUAAAGCUGGGAUUUCA